rnacentral:rRNA from 1 species
UACGGAGGGUGCAAGCGUUAUCCGGAUUUACUGGGUUUAAAGGGAGCGUAGGUGGUUCUUUAAGUCAGUGGUGAAAUCUCUCGGCUUAACCGAGAAGCUGCCAUUGAUACUGGAGAACUUGAAUACGGUUGAAGUGGGCGGAAUAAAUCAUGUAGAGGUGAAAUUCUUAGAGAUGAUUUAGAACACCGAUUGCGAAGGCAGCUCACUAAGCCGUUAUUGACACUGAUGCUCGAAAGCGUGGGGAUCAAACAGG